rnacentral:rRNA from 1 species
AAGCGUCGGUAAGGUGAUAUGAACCGUUAUAACCGGCGAUUUCCGAAUGGGGAAACCCAGUGUGAUUCGUCACACUAUCAUUAACUGAAUCCAUAGGUUAAUGAGGCGAACCGGGGGAACUGAAACAUCUAAGUACCCCGAGGAAAAGAAAUCAACCGAGAUUCCCCCAGUAGCGGCGAGCGAACGGGGAGCAGCCCAGAGCCUGAAUCAGUGUGUGUGUUAGUGGAAGCGUCUGGAAAGGCGUGCGAUACAGGGUGACAGCCCCGUACACAAAAAUGCACAUACUGUGAGCUCGAUGAGUAGGGCGGGACACGUGGUAUCCUGUCUGAAUAUGGGGGGACCAUCCUCCAAGGCUAAAUACUCCUGACUGACCGAUAGUGAACCAGUACCGUGAGGGAAAGGCGAAAAGAACCCCGGCGAGGGGAGUGAAAAAGAACCUGAAACCGUGUACGUACAAGCAGUGGGAGCACGCUUAGGCGUGUGACUGCGUACCUUUUGUAUAAUGGGUCAGCGACUUAUAUUCUGUAGCAAGGUUAACCGAAUAGGGGAGCCGAAGGGAAACCGAGUCUUAACUGGGCGUUAAGUUGCAGGGUAUAGACCCGAAACCCGGUGAUCUAGCCAUGGGCAGGUUGAAGGUUGGGUAACACUAACUGGAGGACCGAACCGACUAAUGUUGAAAAAUUAGCGGAUGACUUGUGGCUGGGGGUGAAAGGCCAAUCAAACCGGGAGAUAGCUGGUUCUCCCCGAAAGCUAUUUAGGUAGCGCCUCGUGAAUUCAUCUCCGGGGGUAGAGCACUGUUUCGGCAAGGGGGUCAUCCCGACUUACCAACCCGAUGCAAACUGCGAAUACCGGAGAAUGUUAUUACGGGAGACACACGGCGGGUGCUAACGUCCGUCGUGAAGAGGGAAACAACCCAGACCGCCAGCUAAGGUCCCAAAGUCAUGGUUAAGUGGGAAACGAUGUGGGAAGGCCCAGACAGCCAGGAUGUUGGCUUAGAAGCAGCCAUCAUUUAAAGAAAGCGUAAUAGCUCACUGGUCGAGUCGGCCUGCGCGGAAGAUGUAACGGGGCUAAACCAUGCACCGAAGCUGCGGCAGCGACGCUUAUGCGUUGUUGGGUAGGGGAGCGUUCUGUAAGCCUGUGAAGGUGUGCUGUGAGGUAUGCUGGAGGUAUCAGAAGUGCGAAUGCUGACAUAAGUAACGAUAAAGCGGGUGAAAAGCCCGCUCGCCGGAAGACCAAGGGUUCCUGUCCAACGUUAAUCGGGGCAGGGUGAGUCGACCCCUAAGGCGAGGCCGAAAGGCGUAGUCGAUGGGAAACAGGUUAAUAUUCCUGUACUUGGUGUUACUGCGAAGGGGGGACGGAGAAGGCUAUGUUGGCCGGGCGACGGUUGUCCCGGUUUAAGCGUGUAGGCUGGUUUUCCAGGCAAAUCCGGAAAAUCAAGGCCGAGGCGUGAUGACGAGGCACUACGGUGCUGAAGCAACAAAUGCCCUGCUUCCAGGAAAAGCCUCUAAGCAUCAGGUAACAUCAAAUCGUACCCCAAACCGACACAGGUGGUCAGGUAGAGAAUACCAAGGCGCUUGAGAGAACUCGGGUGAAGGAACUAGGCAAAAUGGUGCCGUAACUUCGGGAGAAGGCACGCUGAUACGUAGGUGAAGCGACUUGCUCGUGGAGCUGAAAUCAGUCGAAGAUACCAGCUGGCUGCAACUGUUUAUUAAAAACACAGCACUGUGCAAACACGAAAGUGGACGUAUACGGUGUGACGCCUGCCCGGUGCCGGAAGGUUAAUUGAUGGGGUUAGCGCAAGCGAAGCUCUUGAUCGAAGCCCCGGUAAACGGCGGCCGUAACUAUAACGGUCCUAAGGUAGCGAAAUUCCUUGUCGGGUAAGUUCCGACCUGCACGAAUGGCGUAAUGAUGGCCAGGCUGUCUCCACCCGAGACUCAGUGAAAUUGAACUCGCUGUGAAGAUGCAGUGUACCCGCGGCAAGACGGAAAGACCCCGUGAACCUUUACUAUAGCUUGACACUGAACAUUGAGCCUUGAUGUGUAGGAUAGGUGGGAGGCUUUGAAGUGUGGACGCCAGUCUGCAUGGAGCCGACCUUGAAAUACCACCCUUUAAUGUUUGAUGUUCUAACGUGGACCCGUGAUCCGGGUUGCGGACAGUGUCUGGUGGGUAGUUUGACUGGGGCGGUCUCCUCCUAAAGAGUAACGGAGGAGCACGAAGGUUGGCUAAUCCUGGUCGGACAUCAGGAGGUUAGUGCAAUGGCAUAAGCCAGCUUGACUGCGAGCGUGACGGCGCGAGCAGGUGCGAAAGCAGGUCAUAGUGAUCCGGUGGUUCUGAAUGGAAGGGCCAUCGCUCAACGGAUAAAAGGUACUCCGGGGAUAACAGGCUGAUACCGCCCAAGAGUUCAUAUCGACGGCGGUGUUUGGCACCUCGAUGUCGGCUCAUCACAUCCUGGGGCUGAAGUAGGUCCCAAGGGUAUGGCUGUUCGCCAUUUAAAGUGGUACGCGAGCUGGGUUUAGAACGUCGUGAGACAGUUCGGUCCCUAUCUGCCGUGGGCGCUGGAGAACUGAGGGGGGCUGCUCCUAGUACGAGAGGACCGGAGUGGACGCAUCACUGGUGUUCGGGUUGUCAUGCCAAUGGCACUGCCCGGUAGCUAAAUGCGGAAGAGAUAAGUGCUGAAAGCAUCUAAGCACGAAACUUGCCCCGAGAUGAGUUCUCCCUGACCCUUUAAGGGUCCUGAAGGAACGUUGAAGACGACGACGUUGAUAGGCCGGGUGUGUAAGCGCAGCGAUGCGUUGAGCUAACCGGUACUAAUGAACCGUGAGGCUUAACCUUACAACGCCGAAG